ensembl:snRNA U6 U6 spliceosomal RNA
UCGCUCACUUCUGCAGCACAUACAAUGAAAUUGGAACGAUACAGAGAAGAUUAGCAUGGCCCCUAUGCAGAUGACUCGCAAAUUCGUGAGGCAUUCCAAAUUUUU